rnacentral:ncRNA from 1 species
UCAAAGGCGAUGAAGGGAAGAAGACCUGUAUAUCCCGCUCAGAGAACCGGUGGUUGGUGUGAACCGGCGCGGCGAGUGCAGGUGUAAACUGGCCCCAGAGCCGUCUGUCUGAACCGCGAGUAGGAUGGAACGUGCGGCCGCGUUACUGGCCAGGGCCUUGCUGGAGGCUGACGAGGGCCGACCGGGCAACCGGCGGUUGAAUCAGGGUGGUACCGCGUACUAUACGCCCCUGAC